rnacentral:rRNA from 1 species
CGUACCCUGGAGUGGGGGAUAACGUAGCGAAAGUUACGCUAAUACCGCAUACGAUCUAAGGAUGAAAGUGGGGGAUCGCAAGACCUCAUGCUCCUGGAGCGGCCGAUAUCUGAUUAGCUAGUUGGUGGGGUAAAGGCCUACCAAGGCUUCGAUCAGUAGCUGGUCUGAGAGGACGACCAGCCACACUGGAACUGAGACACGGUCCAGACUCCUACGGGAGGCAGCAGUGGGGAAUUUUGGACAAUGGGCGCAAGCCUGAUCCAGCAAUGCCGCGUGAGUGAAGAAGGCCUUCGGGUUGUAAAGCUCUUUUGUCAGGGAAGAAACGGUGAAGGCUAAUAUCCUUUGCUAAUGACGGUACCUGAAGAAUAAGCACCGGCUAACUACGUGCCAGCAGCCGCGGUAAUACGUAGGGUGCAAGCGUUAAUCGGAAUUACUGGGCGUAAAGCGUGCGCAGGCGGUUUUGUAAGUUUGUCGUGAAAGCCCCGGGCUCAACCUGGGAAUUGCGAUGAAGACUGCAAGGCUUGAAUCUGGCAGAGGGGGGUAGAAUUCCACGUGUAGCAGUGAAAUGCGUAGAGAUGUGGAGGAACACCGAUGGCGAAGGCAGCCCCCUGGGUCAAGAUUGACGCUCAUGCACGAAAGCGUGGGGAGCAAACAGGAUUAGAUACCCUGGUAAUCCACGCCCUAAACGAUGUCUACUAGUUGUCGGGUUUUAAUUAACUUGGUAACGCAGCUAACGCGUGAAGUAGACCGCCUGGGGAGUACGGUCGCAAGAUUAAAACUCAAAGGAAUUGACGGGGACCCGCACAAGCGGUGGAUGAUGUGGAUUAAUUCGAUGCAACGCGAAAAACCUUACCUACCCUUGACAUGUACGGAAGGCCGGAGAGAUCUGGUUGUGCUCGAAAGAGAGCCGUAACACAGGUGCUGCAUGGCUGUCGUCAGCUCGUGUCCUGAGAUGUUGGGUUAAGUCCCGCAACGAGCGCAACCCUUGUCAUUAGUUGCUACGAAAGGGCACUCUAAUGAGACUGCCGGGUAACAAACCGGAGGAAGGUGGGGGAUGAC